rnacentral:lncRNA from 10 species
GGGAGACUGAGGCAUGGCGGGAUGCAGGUCCCAAGCCCUUCCCCGCGGGGAGGCAGCUAAGGCCCGGCAAGAAAUCGAGCACAGCAGCUGCUAGCGCAGGUGCUAAGCCCCUCACUGCCCGGGGCUUGCGGGCCGGCCUGCUGCUCCGAGUGCUGGGCCAGCCGAGCCCACGCCCCCCCGGAACUGGCGCUGGCCCGCAAGCGCCGCGCGCAGCCCCAGUUUCCGCCCGCGCCUCUCCCUCCACGCCUCCUCGCAAGCUGAGGGAGUCGGCUCCGGCCUUGGCCAGCCCAGAAAGGGGCUCCCACAGUGCAACGGUGGGCUGAAGGGCCAGAGUGGGCGCCAAGGGCGAGGAGGCGCCGAGAGCGAGUGGGGGCUGCCAGCACGGUGUCACCUCUCACCAGUAGUUGUGAUUUUUGCUGUCACCCCCAUGGAUUAUGAAUUCACUUUGUCUGGGUAACAGUGGAAACCCUCGGAAGUUGUUUCCACUGUUUCAUCUAAAAGAAGUCGCCAAAACGAAGUUUUCUCAGUGCCAAAGCAUGGACUCAGUGACUGGCAAUGUUUGGGAUUGCAGAGGCUCCAGUAGCCUGGGAAGAGAGCAGUUUAAGAAUUUUACCUAAAGUCACCGUGCAAGGGGGAUGAGCUCCAGGGACUGUCAUUUUUCACAGUGAGAAAAACCUUACAAAUUAGAAAAUAGAGGAAAAU